UAAACACACCGAUGGUACCGCGUUCUUCGAUUGCGAUCUCAAACCUACAUUCAAGCUUUCUUCAUUCAAGAUCUGGAUGAUGAAGAAGAAUCUUUGGGAACUAAAAGAACAGGCGCUUCUCGAAAUGCUACAGGCUCUAAGAGAAGCCGAGCUGCUAAACUUUAUAAUUUGUCUAAAAGGGCCUUCUUUGUCCAAUUUAGAUUUACUUUUGAGGUAUCUUUGGUUGGACAAUGGGUGAGCUACCUAGCUUUUGGAUAAUACUUUUCAGGUAUCU